AGGCACAGACUGAAUGCGUACCUUUGAAUAUCUAAACUCGAAUGAAGGCAACAUACAAAACUCAUGAUAUUCAGACAACAAAUGCAAUCAGACAAAGGGGUGCAACACAAUCAUUUGGAGGAGAAGUGAGAAGUUUGGCGGACUUUUGGAACCUUUGGCAUCUGAGUGGCGACAUGAGAAGCAGAAACAGUAGAGAAGAAGUGACGAACUGAGAAGUCUGCUAUCCUUCCGCAUCGCGGAGCAAAGGCGCAAGAAUUCUAUCUCUGACUAAUGGCACAAUCAGGCUUUUCAUCCGCAUCGCGUGAAGAAAGCGAGCAAAACAAGUGUUUGACCAAGUUUCAUGUUCAGGCGAUGCUUCUGCAUCGCUGAAGAAAAGCUCAAGUUCUGUUCAGCCUAUCCUUCCGCAUCGCCAAAGGAAAGCGAGUCUCUUCCUGUUUCGAUCGGGAUUAGGUCUACUUAUUUUUUGUUUUAACCCUAGACUAUAAAUUGAUGUUUUAUUAGUUGUAAACGACGUGAUGGGAUUAUUCUAAGACUUUUAAGCCGUCACUUUACUUUCUCUCUCUAGAAUUUUCUUAUUUCUUCUUUUUAACCCUAGAUUAUUCAUGAAUUCUUGUUCUUCAUCUAGAAUCAUGAGUAGCUAAACUUCUUAAAUCUGGGGUUGUGACGAAAGACAUGAUAGUUGGUUUGGCGAAAAUUUCUAUCAAUUAAAUUUUCUUAUUUUGGGUUGCUUA